GCACUGAGUGGAUUAACUAUUCUUUAUUUAUUUAUAAAUUUAUUUUAAAUACUUUUAAGUCCAUCUUAUAGAAAAUUUUAAAUCUUCUAACCGAAAAAAUUUUUUACUGUAACUCGCCUUACUUCUUAUUUAUUUGCUGCACUUUGAUUUGUAUUAAGUUUUAAGAUAAAGCUUUGAAUUUACUUUAAAGUAAAUUCACGACAACGGUAUACAAGCUUUAGUAAAUAAGUAAAAUAUUCUUGGUGGUUAUCAAUUAUAUGGUAAGUUCCCCUAAAAUACUACACUCAGCCGCCAUAAUAUUUAAGUUUAGGCCAAAUAAUAAGCAUUAAUUCUUGUUUUAAAUAUAUUAAUCUCCUUAUAAUUGGGUAUCUAAUCCAGGUUUAAUUUUAAGAGGUUGUUAUUUUAAAAAUAUAGUUAGUUUAUAAAGUUAAUAGUAUUUCACCACAUAUUUAAAUUUUGUAUAUCUUUAAUUAUAAAACAAUUACUAUAAACUUCCCUAAUAGGUAUGACCGCGGUUGCUGGCACCUAAUUAACCUAGGAUAUAUAAUUAUCUAAAUUUAAAUUGCUUUAAUAGUUUAAAAUUUUUAACUAGAAUUAAGUCUUUACAUUCUAUAUUAAGUUAGAUUACAGGCUUAUAGAUUCAUCAUAUUAAAGUGUAAAAUCUAAGGGGGUUGAUAACCAUUUUAGA
rnacentral:rRNA from 1 species